rnacentral:lncRNA from 1 species
UUCCGGUUUGGUCGCGCGGGAAUUAUGUUUCUCGCGGAGACGCUGCGCCCGGACUUGGAGCGGUCGACGCGUCGCAGCUGCGCCCUGUCCGCAGAGCAGCAGGUGAUCGUCGCUCUGCAAUUCUACGCCACAGGCAACUUCCUCAUCACUGCAGGCGACUACGUCCACGUGCAAGUCUCUAGUGCUUGAGGUUCCGUGAGGCAGGUCACGGUAGCUCUGGCACGUCGUGCAAGGGACUUCAUACGGUGGCCUGACGUCGCAGAGAGUGCUGCCUUGCAGGAGCAGUUCUUUGACGUAGCCGGGUUCCCUUGUGUCGUGGGUGCUGUUGAUGGCACCCACAUUCGAAUCCAGGGACCGCGUGUGCACGAGGAGGUGUACGUGAACCGCCACCUGUAGCAUUCCAUCAACGUACAGGUGGUAGUUGACGCAUCCUGCCGCAUACGCAAUGUGGUUGCGAGAUGGCCAGGAAGCACGCAUGACUCCCGGAUUAUCACCGAGAGCACACUAUCAGUCAAGCUGGCCGAUGGCGUCUACGAUGGCCUAUUGCUCGGCGACAGCGGCUACACCUGCCAGCCGUGGCUGAUGACGCCCUUCCUGUCGCCAUCAUCAGCAGCAGAAGUCAGGUGCAACACGGCACACACCACGACAAGGAGUAUUGUUGAAAGGACAAUAGGCCAGCUGAAGCGCAGGUUCCACUGCCUGCACGCCGAGCUGCGCAUGGAGCCAAGCGGAUGCUGCGACAUCAUCAUGGCAUGCUGCGUGCUCCACAAUCUCGCCAAGAGAUACACCUGCGCGAUGCCAGGGACUGCCAUCCCGCCUGAGGUUCCUGUGGAGCCCAUGGCAGCCGGCCGCGGAGAAAGCAACGAGGCCCGGCGUGCCCUUGUCGACCAGUUCUUCUGUUGAGCGUAGGACGUUCUCCGCCUCCAUCCGCUGCUGGUCCUCAGCUUGCAGCUGAUACCUCUGCGCAGCUUCCCGGCACCAACGUCUCGUCUGCAAGACACGGGGAGCUGCUGCCCACUCUUCUGCUGCUGCCACCCUUUGGCCGCUUCCUGACGCCCGAGGCUGCGGCGCUGCUGUUUGCCUCAAGCUAUCGCUGUGGCAAAUGGAUAUGCAGCAAGUGAUUUGCUGUAGUUAUUAGAAGUGUGCAGGCAACAUAGUAUAACAUACAGUGUUUGUAACCCCGACAUGUUGCUGGAAUUUUGCCACAGUGUACUUAACUGUAGAACAGAAACUCUCUGAUGCUUCAAGCAUCUCCGAGUGGACCACACACAUGGUGCUCAUGCAGAAAUCCAUGCUCACCGUUAUAUCCCGAGAAAUUGCCCACCCAAAACUGAGACCACAUUAGGUAAAAAUAAGGGGUAGGCUAACAUUCGGUGUUCACAAGGUAGCUCAACUUGAGCCAUUGAAAAAUAGAAAGUCCUGCUACAAAUCAGGAUGGGCUAUCUGUUGGGGAUGGGUCGUCUCUCGGGAUAUUACGGUAAUAUUCCUUGUACCGGUUGCAAUUUUCAGUAUUUCAUUACCUUUAGCUUUCUUAUAAAUUUCUUAAAAUUGCCGUUUAUUUCACCUAAGGAUGUUGUGAAACCAAACAUUCAAGUCUCGUUGUUUACGAAAUCCACGAUGCUACAAAAGAGUUUUCGCUUGGCUAUGUAGAGUCAAUAUCGCUAUGGCUUUCGAUCCUCCUGUUAAACCGAUAACUGAUGCCAUCAACGCUACCUCUUUCCUUUUUGCGUUCCGCACUAGUUCGUCUCAGCAUAAACAAUGAGUUUGUUCACUCAUUCAACAACUCAUCAAAUAUCAUGCGUAACAACAGGGGUGUACCUCUUUUUUCUUUAAAAGGAAGCAUAGUGUCUGAGAUGUUGCACCUGUUGGUUAAGCGGUUAGAACUAAAUAUCACCACCUUGCAUUCCUUCAACCAUCAAAAAGUGUACUACAACUCUUCUUUGUUCGGAUAUCUGGCUUUUGUAAAUCGGUAGUUCUGUUGUCUGGUUGUUAGCAAUAUUAGUAAUGAGCAGAUUUCGCUGCAUAUCCUUCUGUGUGUGUGUUUUUGCAGGUUGUUUGUAGAGCAAUUAUGCUGCCCUAUGAGUAAAAUGAAGAGAAAUUAACGAUUACAUGCUUGUCAUAAGUGACCCAAAGGCAGUGCAGUGUGUCCGCUAUCCUGGGCUUCCUAUCCCUAACCUGCAUCACGCAGUAGUGAUACAUGAAAGUGCGCUGAUUUCCAAUUAGAUAUUGUGUGUAUGGCACUAUGACAAUUUUUACAAUCUCCCUGUUUUCACGUCAGUUUCUUAGGGUCCCACCAUUAAUAACAGAGCUCUUCUGCAUGCCUGGCACCCAGUGCUGUUGACUUGUCAUACAGACUGAUGUAAGAGUAAUCCACUCACUCUUCCGUGUCACCCUCAAUGACAUCGAGCCCACACAGGUUCGGCGAGUCGACGCCGAUCACGUCGAGAACUGCCUGAAUUAGGGGCGUCAGUUCAUGGGGGUUCGGGCCGGCACCUACCAAAUGAAUGCACACUAUUUUCAUUCCGUAGUCACCCGGGCCCCACAGGCAUUGCAGAGUGGAGGGGGAUCAAUAACCAACUACCAAGCUAGAAUAUAAACAGCAGAAAUCCAACGGCAUUAUGAAGCAUGAAAUGAAAGCAUAGUAAUUUAUACUGUGUGGCAGAAAUGUAACUUCUUAACAUUGCAGUGGAGUGAUCUCGCACAAGUGACCUUCCAACAUGCACAUCGCUGCGUGCAAUUGUGCUGCAGUCAACUUUGUACAUAGUGCUUUCUGUGUGCCUUGAGGAUGCAGUAGUGUAGGGUAUUCAGCGACGUGUUCGAUGAACAACUAUGCCCUAAGUUUUAGGACUGUUUUCUUAAAAACAACAGAAAAGGCACAGUUUAGGUGGUGUGCUUUCAACAUUUUGAUCUCCUCUGUCUCAGGUCUACCACAAUUUUUGUUCUUUCAUGCGUGUCUCGGUUACUAAAACACGGUUAAAGGAAAUUUCAAUAAAUUGU